rnacentral:rRNA from 1 species
AUUGAACGCUGGCGGCAUGCCUUACACAUGCAAGUCGAACGGUAACGCGGGGCAACCUGGUGACGAGUGGCGAACGGGCGAGUAAUGCAUCGGAACGUGCCCGGUAGCGGGGGAUAACUGCUCGAAAGAGCAGCUAAUACCGCAUACGACCUGAGGGUGAAAGGGGGGGAUCGCAAGACCUCUCGCUAUCGGAGCGGCCGGUGUCGGAUUAGCUAGUUGGUGGGGUAAAGGCCUACCAAGGCGACGAACCGUAGCUGGUCUGAGAGGACGACCAGCCACACUGGGAGUGAGACAGAGCCCGGGCUCCUACGGGGGGCAGGAGGGGGGAAUAUUGGACAAUGGACGCGAGUCUGAUCCAGCCAUGCCGAGUGCGGGAAGAAGGCCUUCGGGUUGUAAGCCGCUUUUGUCAGGGAAGAAAACUUCUGAGUUGAUACCUCGGGAGGAUGACGGUACCUGAAGAAUAAGCGCCGGCUAACUGCGUGCCAGCAGCCGCAGUAAAAC